ACCUAUCAGAGGUAAAGUGUUUUUCUAAAGCUUUCUACUAUCUGUGUGUGUUAUUUUUGACAGUGCUGCUCAUCAGAUGUUUACAUAUGAAGGAGUGAACAAUGACAGAUUUGUGCCCUAUGGAUGCAGUUGACUGCUUUAGCCUGAUUCACAUCUUGAAUAUUUGCUGUCAGUCCCUCAGGUGUGUCAAUAACAAGCUAAUCUUGUUAUCUACUCAAAUGUUGUCUUCCUGUGCUGAACAGACCACGUCACCUCACAGCUGCUGCCACUGACAAAAAUGGUAAAAAAAAAAAACUCCACACACCUUGUGCUAAAGUCCAGACAGCACACAGCUACAAAAUCUAGACACGUUUACCUCAAAAAGGGAAACCAACUCAUUGUCUGGAGCUGCCUCAACACCAGAUUUUGGACAUGGGGGACAUUGAGAAGG